rnacentral:rRNA from 1 species
AUGCGUGAUCAGGUCGGCCUGGACCUGGACGGCUUUCCUCUCGACCAUGAGUUUCCGGAGGACUACGGGCUAGAGGAAGAGGACGAGUGCGACAUCGAAGGGGAGCCUUUGUUCGAGGACGAGCUCGCCAACCAAGCCGCCGGGGCGAAGCCGAAGCGCAAGAGCAAGCAGACCAAGGCAUACAAGGCGGCCUAGGACAAGCUUCUUUGCGAGUGUUGGAUAGACAUUGGGCAAGACCCCAAGACGGGCGCCGAACAAAAGCAUUCAACUUUUUGGAUUCGUGUCCACCGCGAGGUCCAUGAGCGCAAGAAGUUUCCGCCGUACCACUAG